rnacentral:rRNA from 1 species
UGGCAGCAGCAAGGAAUAUUGGGCAAUGGGCGAAAGCCUGACCCAGCGACACCGCGUGGGGGAAGAAGGCCUUCGGGUUGUAAACCCCUUUUCCCGGGGAAGAAUAAUGACGGUACCUGGGGAAUAAGUCUCGGCUAACUACGUGCCAGCAGCCGCGGUAAUACGUAGGAGACGAGCGUUAUCCGGAUUUACUGGGCGUAAAGAGCGCGUAGGCGGCCUUUCAAGUCGGAUGUGAAAUCUCCUGGCUUAACUGGGAGGGUGCAUUCGAUACUGAUGGGCUUGAGUGCAGCAGAGGAAAGUGGAAUUCCCGGUGUAGUGGUGGAAUGCGUAGAUAUCGGGAAGAACACUAGUGGCGAAGGCGGCUUUCUGGGCUGUUACUGACGCUGAGGCGCGAAGGCGUGGGGAGCAAACAGGAUUAGAUACCCCGGUAGUC